CCUACGGGCGGCAGCAGUCGAGAAUCAUUCUCAAUGGGGGAAACCAUGAUGCUGCGACGCCGCGUGGGGGAAUGAAGGUCUUCGGAUUGUAAACCCCUGUCAUGUGGGAGCAAAUUAAAAAGAUAGUACCACAAGAGGAAGAGAUGGCUAACUCUGUGCCAGCAGCCGCGGUAAUACAGAGGUCUCAAGCGUUGUUCGGAUUCACUGGGCGUAAAGGGUGCGUAGGCUGUUUCGUAAGUCGUGUGUGAAAGGCGCGGGCUCAACGGGCGAACGGCAAAUGAUACUGCGAGACUGGAGUAGUGUAGGGGGAGCCGGAAUUCGCGGUGUAGCAGUGAAAUGCGUAGAUAUCAAGAAGAACACUGAUGGCGAAGGCAGGUUCCUAGACAUUAACUGACGCUGAGGCACGAAGGCCAGGGGAGCGAAAGGGAUUAGAUACCCGAGUAGUC
rnacentral:rRNA from 1 species